UCCAACUCCGGAAAAAUCAGGUAUUCACAGUUCUGGGAUAGGAGCGUAGGAUUCACUUGCACUACGGCGGGAUUCGUGUAGAAGAACAAAAGCUAGCAGAUACCACAGCCACGAUAGCAGCGAUGGGCGUGCAUGACCGAUGGCCUCUCGUUCUCAUGACGUUAAUGGCCAUGAUGUACCUCGGAUGUGAUUUCCAGGCGUCAGCACAGUCUCAGAGCCUUCAGGACAUCUUACAAGGUCUCCAGCAAAAUAUUGGAAACAUUACAAGGAUUGGUAAGAAUCUUUAUUAAUGAUCUUUUCUGUUUGUCGUUUUGUAUUACAAAUUUCAAAAUUUUCAGACUGCAGUUCCUGUGCAUUGUCUUUUGGGCAAAAACAAAAGAUAAUUUCAUGUUUUCUUUUUCUUUUUAACUGUUUUUGUUAUGUUUGUA
rnacentral:lncRNA from 1 species